GCUGGGCGUGGUGGCGCGUGCCUGUAAUCCCAGCUACUCAGGAGGCUGAGGCAGGAGAAUCGCUUGAACCCAGGAGGCGGAGGUUGUAGUGAGCUGAGAUCGUGCCACUGCACUCCAGCCUGGGUGACAGAGAGAGACUCUGUCUCAA
rnacentral:SRP_RNA from 1 species